rnacentral:rRNA from 1 species
AGACCCGAAACCCGGUGAUCUAGCCAUGGGCAGGUUGAAGGUUGGGUAACACUAACUGGAGGACCGAACCGACUAAUGUUGAAAAAUUAGCGGAUGACCUGUGGCUGGGGGUGAAAGGCCAAUCAAACCGGGAGAUAGCUGGUUCUCCCCGAAAGCUAUUUAGGUAGCGCCUCGUGAAUUCAUCUCCGGGGGUAGAGCACUGUUUCGGCUAGGGGGCCAUCCCGGCUUACCAACCCGAUGCAAACUGCGAAUACCGGAGAAUGUUAUCACGGGAGACACACGGCGGGUGCUAACGUCCGUCGUGAAGAGGGAAACAACCCAGACCGCCAGCUAAGGUCCCAAAGUCAUGGUUAAGUGGGAAACGAUGUGGGAAGGCCCAGACAGCCAGGAUGUUGGCUUAGAAGCAGCCAUCAUUUAAAGAAAGCGUAAUAGCUCACUGGUCGAGUCGGCCUGCGCGGAAGAUGUAACGGGGCUAAACCAUGCACCGAAGCUGCGGCAGCGACGCUGAUGCGUUGUUGGGUAGGGGAGCGUUCUGUAAGCCUGCGAAGGUGGCCUGUGAGGGUUGCUGGAGGUAUCAGAAGUGCGAAUGCUGACAUAAGUAACGAUAAAGCGGGUGAAAAGCCCGCUC